rnacentral:rRNA from 1 species
AGCGAACGCUGGCGGCAGGCCUAACACAUGCAAGUCGAACGGAUCCUUCGGGAUUAGUGGCGGACGGGUGAGUAACACGUGGGAACGUGCCCUUUGGUUCGGAACAACUCAGGGAAACUUGAGCUAAUACCGGAUGUGACCUUAGGGGGAAAGAUUUAUCGCCAUUGGAGCGGCCCGCGUCUGAUUAGCUAGUUGGUGAGGUAAAGGCUCACCAAGGAGACGAUCAUUACCUGGGCUGAGAGGAUGAUCAGCCACAUUGGUACUGAGACACGGCCCAAACUCCUACGAGUCGCAGCAGUGGGGAAUCUUGCGCAAUGGGCGAAAGCCUGACGCAGCCAUGCCGCGUGAAUGAUGAAGGUCUUAGGAUUGUAAAAUUCUUUCACCGGUGACGAUAAUGACGGUACCCGGAGAAGAAGCCCCGGCUAACUUCGUGCCAGCAGCCGCCGUAAGAC